rnacentral:misc_RNA from 1 species
AAGUGAGACUACAUAAUGCAAAUAUACAAAAAUAAAAUGAAAAGAAAGCUUCACAUAAGAUUAUCGGAGAAAACAAUCUCUGGCAAGGUUUCUGUUGAGUUUCGGUCCACCACCUUCAUCUCCGCCUCCACCUCCAUCUCCUUCAAUUGCCCACGACCUUAAAGGCCUCAGGUCCUCCAAUACCCAACACCACUGCAACAGAAGAAACCCAUCACACAAGGAAGGAAGCAAGAACAUAAAAGGACCAAAACCCUUUCUGUACUACCACCACAGGCCAUAACAGCAGGUGCUUUGUUCUUAAUGAGUAAACCAAUUACCAGUGGAUUUGAUUGCAAUGAUCUUAUUCUGUCAAGAUGGUCCUUUCCAUUUCACUGCUUGUUAAUUGAACCUGUAUCCAUAUCUGACUGGAGUUUGCAGUAGCUGUGUUUGGAGAAAUAUCAUUUUAGAACUGAUUCAAUUCUGUAUGCAGCACAAAGGAAGAGGGGAAAUCACAUAAAUCUGGUGCUCCUUAUUUUGGUGGAUUCAUGGCUGAUCAUGCUUUAAUUGUGCCUGAUGUUUCUCUUCCUUUGAUAGAACAUAGUUUAGUUAUUGGACAAGAAUUUCCUGAUGUUGAAACUUGCAGAAGAACAUUGAAAGAUAUUGCUAUAGCCCUGCAUUUUGAUCUUCGGAUAGUGAAAUCAGAUCGAAGCCGGUUUAUAGCCAAGUGCUCCAAAGAAGGUUGUCCGUGGCGUGUCCAUGUUGCAAAAUGCCCCGGAGGUCCAACCUUUACAAUUAGAACGUUACAUGGAGAGCAUACAUGUGAAGGAGUCCGCAACCUGCACCAUCAGCAAGCAUCAGUAGGUUGGGUAGCCAGAUCUGUAGAAGCCCGAAUUCGGGAUAAUCCACAAUACAAACCAAAGGAAAUCCUACAAGAUAUCCGUGACCAACAUGGGGUUGCUGUGUCUUAUAUGCAAGCUUGGCGUGGAAAGGAGCGCAGCAUGGCUGCACUUCAUGGUACUUUUGAAGAAGGGUACCGCCUUCUGCCUGUGUAUUGUGAGCAGAUAAGGAAAACAAACCCAGGGAGCAUUGCUUCGGUUUUUGCUACUGGACAGGAAAAUUGUUUCCAGCGCCUCUUUAUUUCUUAUCGUGCAUGUAUUUAUGGGUUUAUAAAUGCUUGUAGGCCACUUCUGGAACUUGACAGAGCACAUCUUAAAGGAAAAUAUUUGGGUACAUUACUUUGUGCUGCAGCUGUUGAUGCUGAUGAUGCAUUAUUUCCUCUGGCCAUUGCUAUUGUUGAUACAGAAAGUGAUGAAAAUUGGAUGUGGUUCAUGUCAGAAUUACGUAAGCUCCUUGGAGUAAAUACUGAUAACAUGCCUAGACUUACAAUACUGUCUGACAGGCAAAGAGGCAUUGUAGAGGCAGUUGAAACGCACUUUCCUAGUGCUUUUCAUGGAUUUUGUUUGCGUUUUGUUAGUGAAAACUUCCGUGAUACAUUUAAGAAUACAAAGUUAGUGAAUAUAUUUUGGAAUGCUGUUUAUGCCCUUACAACAGCUGAAUUUGAAAGCAAAAUCUCUGAGAUGGUAGAGAUUUCACAAGAUGUUAUGACAUGGUUUCAACACUUUCCUCCUCAACUUUGGGCAGUGGCAUAUUUUGAGGGCAUGCGAUAUGGCCAUUUUACAUUGGGGAUCACUGAGUUGUUGUAUAAUUGGGCUCUCGAGUGUCAUGAGCUUCCAAUUGUGCAAAUGAUGGAGCAUAUGCGUAAUCAGUUGGCAUCUUGGUUUAAUGAUCGUCGGGAUAUUGGUAUGAGGUGGACCUCAAUUCUUGUUCCAUCUGCUGAGAAGCGGAUUCUGGAGGCAAUUGCAGAUGCCCGUUGCUAUCAAGUCCUACGUGCAAACGAAGUUGAGUUUGAGAUUGUGUCAACUGAGCGGACAAAUAUUGUGGAUAUAAGAAGUCGUGUGUGCUCGUGUCGCCGUUGGCAGCUCUAUGGUUUACCUUGUGCACAUGCUGCUGCUGCACUUAUUUCUUGUGGACAAAAUGCCCAUCUAUUUGCAGAACCCUGUUUCACAGUUGCAAGUUAUCGAGAGACUUACUCACAGAUGAUAAACCAUAUUCCAGAUAAAAGCCUAUGGAGGGAACCAGGUGAGGGAACUGAAGGUGGAGGUGCCAAGGUUGAUAUCACAAUACGCCCACCCAAAACUCGGCGGCCUCCUGGAAGACCAAAAAAGAAGGUUCUUCGUGUAGAAAACUUUAAGCGUCCGAAGAGAGUUGUUCAAUGUGGUCGCUGUCAUUUGUUAGGACAUUCUCAAAAGAAAUGCACAAUGCCACUAUGAACAGGAGAUAGCUUCUUAACAUUUCUUCAUUUCUUAUUCUGGAAUUACAAAAGAAUCCAUGGUGUGUUUGUAAUCUGAUGUAUGUUUGAACUAUUUCAUAGAAUAACAAGGAUCUAAUCCUUUUGGUAUAGUUCUAUGUGCAUAUGGUAGAAGCAUUUUUGUGUUUUUCACAUUUAGUUUGAUAAGAACGGUCUAGUUACUGUAACCAGUCAGAAAUACUUUCAAUGCAUAUUUUUCUGCAUUACAUGGUAGUUAUUAUGCAGGAAAUUGAUAUUUUAAAUCUAUCAAUUGGCUGUGCUGAGUUUUCUGUUUGUCAAUGUUCUAUGCAGACUAGUCAUCCUGUAAUUAGCAAUAUCUCCACUGGCAGAAAGCAACUAACAGUGUUUUAUAGGGUUUAAAAUACAAGUUCA